GUUGGUACCAUUUCUUGGUGGCGAAAAAACCGCGUAGAAGUUUAAAGAAUAGUGUUGAUUUAUGUAGUGUAGAUAAUUUUAUGGUUUAGAUUAGUUGCUAUUACACCAUUUAUCAAAUAUGCAUUUUGUUCAGAAAUAUCUGGAAAAAAUUCCUAUGCCAUCAAUAAGUACAAAUGCCACUACCGGUAAAAAAUCCGCAAACAUUUAUCUCUACUGUAAUUAUUACAGCUUUUAUUCUCAAAAGGUGCUGAUGAGUCUUUAUGAAAAAAAUGUGGAUUUUGAGCCAUUGAUGGUGGACAUAACAAAAGGAGAGCAGUAUUCAUCAUGGUUUUUGGAUAUAAAUCCCCGAGGGGAAAUUCCAGUCCUAAAAGUAAAAAAUGAAGUUAUUCCAGAUUCCACAAGAAUUUUAGAUUAUUUGGAAUAUUAUUUAGAUCCAGAAUUAACACCAUUAAUAAAUGUUUCAACCGAUAGCAAAGUGAUAGAUAGCAUCAAUAGAUUCCGAGAGAUGUUGGAAGCAUUACCAGCUGGCUUGAUAACAGUGGGCUCAUUUUUUCAUCCUCAUUUAAGUGGCACUCCUAAGUUGCCAUUCAUACUGCCAGUGCGGGAAAUACUGAAAAGUGGUGACUUGGGCAAUUCAAGAAAUCUAAGAAAAUUGGCUGAAGAAAAUCCUAAAGCUAAAAGUAUAUUAUUAUACAAAGCUCAGAUACAAGAUCGCAAACAUGAAAUAAUAACAAAUGAAGAAGAGUACACUAAAGUACUAAACAUUGUAGAUCAAGUUAUGGGCCAAAUUGAAGAACAAUUGAAAAAGCAACCUGAAGGUAACUGGCUGUGCUGUGAAAACUUUAGUAUUGCUGAUAUCAACCUUGCAAUUCUUCUUCAACGUCUAUGGGAGCUUGGUUACGAAGGUAGAUAUUGGGCAGCCGGAAAACGUCCUUUACUAGAAAACUAUUACAACCGUGUAAAACAACGAGAAUCUUUUAAAAAGACAAUACCUAGUUUAUCUGUGCACCUAAAAAUGAUAGUUAUGUCACAGCCUCCUUUAUAUCUGGGUGCUGCUGGUGCUGCCUCUGUCGGCGUUAUUUUUGCAAUUGUAUAUGUAUUGAAGAAAAUUGUACGCUAAAUGAUCAAUUAGAAAUUCGCAAUCGAGUAUAUACUUUGUACUACAUCGUAAUAUAAACUACCUAGGUAGAAGUUGUUAUAUUUCUUUCAUAUUAGAUGCUUAUUUCAUUUGGUGAACCAGCAAACAAAGAGUUAAUCUAUUUUUUUAAUAUUUACAAUAUUAUAAUACAACAAAAAAUAUUUUUCUACUAUGAAUUUCAAGAGAGGAUUUAAAGGAUUGUCUAUUCUAUAUAUACCAAAAAGAUGAACAGUAUUAUGAUGCUAGGUAUGGUAUUUGAUAAAAUUGGGAUUUGGUCAUGGGUUUAAGAACUGUGAGCAGCAAUUAUAUGUGAUCUGUGUCAUCCCUUUGUAAGAACACAUGUUUUACAAGAAUUUAAUGUGUAUUUAUGUCAAUAAUAAGCAUUAGGUAUCAAAUUGGAACACAAUGAAACAGUAUUAUUUACCUUUGUUAGAUAUUUAAUAAAGUUAUAACAUGA